rnacentral:rRNA from 1 species
CCCCUAGAUGUUCUGGGCCGCACGCGCGCUACACAGAACAGUUCAACAAGUCUUAACCUUGGCCGAUAGGUCUGGGUAAUCUUUGAACGCUGUUCGUGAUUGGGAUAGACCUUUGCAAUUAUGGGUCUUCAACGAGGAAUUCCUAGUAAACGCAAGUCAUCAGCUUGCAUUGAUUACGUCCCUGCCCUUUGUACACACCGCCCGUCGCACCUACCGAUUGAAUGGUCCGGUGAAAUCUCGGGACGGCGGCUUGGUCGCUUGCGUCCGACUGCUGAAACUUGAUUAAACCAUAUCAUUUAGAGGAAGGUGAAGUCGUAACA